CCUGCUGCUGCUGCUUCUGCUGCUGCUGCUGUGCAGCAGCAGCAGCAGCAGCAUGACAAGGAGCAGCAGCAGCAGGGAGGGGACGCGCCUGAUGCGCCUGCUGCUGCUGU
rnacentral:snoRNA from 1 species